rnacentral:rRNA from 1 species
UGGGGAAUUUUGGACAAUGGGCGAAAGCCUGAUCCAGCAAUGCCGCGUGUGUGAAGAAGGCCUUCGGGUUGUAAAGCACUUUUGUCCGGGAAAGAAAUCCUCUGGGUUAAUACCUCGGGGGGAUGACGGUACCGGAAGAAUAAGCACCGGCUAACUACGUGCCAGCAGCCGCGGUAAUACGUAGGGUGCAAGCGUUAAUCGGAAUUACUGGGCGUAAAGCGUGCGCAGGCGGUUUUGUAAGACGGAUGUGAAAUCCCCGGGGCUUAACCUGGGAACUGCAUUCGUGACUGCAAGGCUAGAGUAUGGCAGAGGGGGGUUAGAAUUCCACGUGUGAGCAGUGAAAUGCGUAGAGAUGUGGAGGAAUACCGAUGGCGAAGGCAGCCCCCUGGGCCAAGUACUGACGCUCAUGCACGAAAGCGU